ACGAACGCUGGCGGCGUGCUUAACACAUGCAAGUCGAACGAUGAAGCCUUCGGGUGGAUUAGUGGCGAACGGGUGAGUAACACGUGGGCAAUCUGCCCUGCACUCUGGGACAAGCCCUGGAAACGGGGUCUAAUACCGGAUAAUACUGUGCCCCUCAUGGGGGACGGUUGAAAGCUCCGGCGGUGCAGGAUGAGCCCGCGGCCUAUCAGCUUGUUGGUGGGGUAAUGGCCUACCAAGGCGACGACGGGUAGCCG
rnacentral:rRNA from 1 species